AACCCUUGCUGCACGUGACCACCAAGGGAGCUUUUGAAAACUACCGGUGCCUGGGCUGGCAUUCCCAGAGAUUAUUGCAACUGGCUGGGGUGGGUUCUGGCCGCUGGUGUUGUCUAAGAGCUUUGGGGAAUAUCACAGAAGUGAAGUGCAAUUCUCAUCAUGUCAUAUCAAGAGCACACACUAACAAACAACAUGACUUAUUGCUGAAUAUUGAACUUGAUCACCUGGCUGAGGUAGUGUUUGCCAGAUUUCUCUGUAAAGGUGAAUAAACUGACACUGGAACAUUCAGGAACUUCUUCAUGGUCAUGGUCACCCAGCUAGAGUGUGGAAGCCAGGCUGUCUGAUUCCAGGAUCUGUGUUCUUAAUCCUAUACAUAAGGAAGCCAUAAUGAGUCAACCACUAUUUUUAAGAUUCACAGAUGUUCGGGUCCAAUUCACCAGAAUGCCAAGUUAUACAGGGUUGUGGAAUCAAAAACUGCAAUUAGUAAUAAAAUGUGAUGCUAUCUAGAAUGUUUUUCAUACAUAUAUAUGCUUCUUGGGACUCUCCCUGCAGGUUAAGAGAAAUUGAGAAACGAUGGAGAAUUUAAGUGUUUUAGAUCCUACAUACAUUAGACUUAAAAAUAGUAACUAUGUACAUGAGUAUUUGUAAACUUAAGAAUGAACAUAACAUGAACCAUGUGGCACCUAUAAAAUGAAAAUAAAAUACCUACAAACCAAAUGAGAGCAAUAAAAGAA
rnacentral:lncRNA from 1 species